AAAAAAAAAAACUUCAGCCAAUCGAUGUAGAUCGGACAAAUAGGCAUCGACCCAAAAGAGAAGGCAAACCAGCACGAUGUGGCAUCCAAGUUAAUGGAUCAGACAGGAGCUAGGAGCUGGUAGAGCUGAGGCUUAGGCUCGGAGUUCAUGCCGAUUAUUAUGACUAGAGGAAUGAAUCCAUAGUGCGUGAUGACUUUAGCCUUCUUCAAGGCCCAAUUGCUCCACUCCUUCAAGCACUGCGUGGUCGAUUUGUCAUCCAUGCCCUUUGAUCCCUUCCCGACGCUGCUCUUGCCUUUGCUCUUGAGCGAAACCCUAGA
rnacentral:misc_RNA from 1 species